rnacentral:lncRNA from 1 species
UGGAGUUGUUUUGGGUUGCUGCGGUCUUUGGUCUCCUGUCCUCUGCACAGUCAGCUCCUGUUACCAGCUGUGAGACGCUCACCAAACAUGAUGACAUAAUAAGAGAUCAGCUGCUGGGAAAAUGGAUCCUUAUUGGAGAAACCACUGACGAAGAUGAAACGUCAUCAAUGAUAAGGUCAUUAGUGGACACUACGUUUUGGAACAUCAUAGAGACUGAC